AUGAUCAGUCGCCAUGCUGGCAAUCUUGCAGCCAGCCCCGAGGAGCCGCCUGACGGCUGGGCCACGCGGGAGAGUAGCGCCUACGCAGGGGGCGACGAGAAGGAGGGAGACGGCUCGGACCGCAAACAGAAGAAGAAGAAGAAAAGACGACAGAAAGACGAGGGAGCCUAUGAUUACCUCGAGGCCAGGGGCCACUCGGAGGCGCAAGCACAGGGAGACGACACGCCCGCAGAGGAGUUCUACCACAGAAUAGGUCCGAGGCGGGACAAAGAUGGUGGCUGGGAGGAGCAGCUGGGAAAGGGGGGGGGCAGGGGGAAGAGAGGAAAGAGCAGGAAGAAGCUUCCAGAGGAGUGGGCGGUGAUGGCGGAGCCAUUCGUUCCUUCGUCGGCAGCAGCCUCACAAAUCACAGAGGUGAUGAUGGACACGGGGAGUCCAGGCCAAGCAACCAGCCAGAGCCCCUGGACGAAGGAGGUCCAGUCAGAUGACAGCCCUAUCUCCGCCCCCGUGUCCCAGGACCUGACCCCAGCUUCUGUUCCCAUCAGCCCCCUGGUCCUGAACAGUGAGCUGAAGGCCACAGCAGCUCCAUUCACCAUGCCCUCCACCAACAUCUCCCUGCCUGUGGCCCUCAGCCCCAGUGACCCAUUCGAUCUGCUGAUGGAUGUGGAGAAUGGCAGCAGCCAGGCCUUCUCUCCACCUUUCUCUCCAGAGGGCAAAUCAGCGGCUGCUGAUUUGGUUGAUAGUGGGAUAUUUGACAUCUCCAGUUCUCUCCACCAGGCUUGUGUGCAGGUCCUCCCUGAGGGAGACAUUUUGGCCUUCAGCCCCGCCCCCCAGCCGAACCCGGUCAUUCCCCCCAAAGGUGAGGUUUUAGCCUCAGCUCCACCCCUCUCACCCUCUGAUGCCUCAUGGCUCCUGGGCGAGUCGCAGAUUAGCAGCAACACAGAGCUUUUUGACUUCAAUAGCAUGAGCCCGUCGGGCGCUUUGCCCCUAGGCUUGUCCUUGGACGCCCCGAGCCCAGCGCCUCUCCGCUCCCCUAAAACCACAGCGCAGGAAUUCCAGCCCAAGGAGCAGAAAGAUGCCAAAUCAUCCCAGAACCAAUCCAAGAAGCAUCACUCUUCAUCGGCUUGCUCCCCUAUAGCCAGCCCCGCCUCCCCAGGAGAUAAACAGCUUCCUCCCCAGGCAUCCUCCCCUUCGUCAGGUCCAGGAUCUGGUCUUAACCCUGCAGCUAAGCCCUUCUUCCCCAGCUUUGCUGAUCCCAUGGACGAACCAGCUGUGGCCCCUGUUGCCCCUGUGAUUGAAGGUUGGUUCCCAUCAACCCUGGAAACUGGUGUAAUACGUAAAGUAACUAAUAGGAAAUACAAAUAA
rnacentral:lncRNA from 1 species